UUUCUGUCACUGUCGGCUUCAAAAUGAAACAGAUGGCUUGACUCUCCAGGACUUUGCAUGCUGGGGAGGUUACCUAAGAGCAGAGCGCAGUGAGAGCUGUCGGAGAGUAGCCCUGUGGAGACGGAGACACUGGGGUGCAAUCCAGGAAGUGAGGUUGGGCCAUGCUGACAGAUGAAACCAACUAACACAAGCAGCCUUGGGUUUCAGCCUCUGUGGUGGCUUUCAUCACAUACCUUUCACCCCUACGGAUAUACGUGGAAGGAGCCACUUCUCUCUGUGCCGUGGAAGAAAAGCACCAUGCAAGUGUCUGGAUUCUCUACAAGCACAAAGCUGGUAGACAUGCUCCCCUCUACGAACGAUUCAUUCCUCCUCUUCUGAUGGCUGGAAUGUGACUACAGUGGCUGGAGCUAGAGUAGCUAUUUUGGACCAUUCAUCACACAGGGGAGAGUGGGGCUCCAUCUCACGGGAAAAUGAGAGAAGUCAGAAAAUAUCAGCCCUGCACUGACUACCUGGAAACUUGUUUAUGAGAAAGAAACAGCCUUUUAGCUUACAUAAGCCAUCACUAUUUUUACAAAUCUGUUUCUUACAAGAGAACCCAACUCUGAGUAGUGUACUUGAAUGUCUUUAUUUACACAAUGCUGAUAUCAAAUAUGAAACAGUUAAAAAAAACUACUUGCUAAAGGAGAAGUAACAGAUGUCUAGCAAAAAUGCCAUCGUGGUUUGUAUGUGGUACAAAUCUGAAUAAUAUUUAAGAAUAUCUGUGAGAAGGGCAGACAUCUGGCAAAUUUCUUGUGUAUUAAUGACAAGGUAGCACAGUGACUUUGUUCUUUCUAGUCGUAUCUUCCAGGACACACUGUGGAAGCUGGCAAAUCUUUCAGGAAAGUUUAUAUUUUGAAGAAAUUGUUAGAAUAAACAAAAUCUGAGAGUCAGUGGGAGAUGGCUAAAAUGGGAAUUGCUGAACGAAAUGUACCAAAUCUGUCAAACCUGGACAACUCUGUAUUUACUUCCUCUGGCUGUGAUGGGUAAUACCGACUGUCCACUGUUCAGGAUCUAGGAUCACCUAUGAGACCGGCUUCUAGACGAGUCUGUGAGACGGUUUCUAGACUGGGUGUACCGAGGUGGGAAGACUCUCCUGAAAUGGGGGAACCAUUUUCUGGGUGGAGGCCCUGGGCUGAAUCUGAAGGAGAAAGUGAGCUGAGCACAAGCACAUCUCUCUGCUUCCUGACUGCAUGAGAUGAGACCAGCUGUUCACGUUCCUGCUGCUAUGACAUCUGCAUCACGAUGGGCUGAACACUUAAACUGGAAGCCACAACAAACACUUUUUCCCCAAGCUUCUUCAGUCAAAUAUUCUGUCACUACAUGAUAAAAGUAACAAAUGGUCCUGAGGUCAGUGUGUAGUCAGGCAGAGAGAUGAUCAGAGUUUUUCUGUCAAUUUUGUACUGAUCCAAAAUGACUCACAAGAAACUGAUCCCCUCCGUGAUCUUGAGGUGUUAUCUACAUGCCCGUUACACAGAAAAAGGAUUCAAGGCUUUAAGGAAUUAGAACAAUUUUCUAAUUCCAAAGACCUUUGGCUGAGGCUUCGGCCAUGUGGUGGUUUGAAAGAAAAAAGCCCCCUGAAGGGUGGGGCACUAUUAGGAGAUGUGUCUUUGUUGGAGUGGGUGUGGCCUCCUUGGAGGAAGUAUGUCACUGUAGAGGCAGGGUUUGAGGUCUUAUAUAUGCUCAAGUCAUGCCCUGUGUCUCUGACCUCUUCCUGUUGACUGGGAGUCAAGAUGCAGAACUCUCAGCUCCUUUUCCAGUACCAUGUUUCCCUGCACACUGCCAUGUUUCCCACCAUAAUGAUAAUGGACUAAACCUCUGAACUGUAAGCCAGCUACCACAAUUAAAUGGUUUCCUUUAUAAGAUUUGCCAUGGUCAUGGUGUCUCUUCACAGCAAAAGAAAUCUUAACUAAGACAGACCUCUUUCAAUGCUGUCCCUAAGAAGACCUUCAGAUCUUAGGAACUCGAAUGACCCACCAACUUCUUUAGUUUGCUUCAAAACAUAAAGCAAAGAGCCUGAUAUUCCUUUUGGGGCCUGGAAA